CCCUUAGAUGUUCUGGGCCGCACGCGCGCUACACUGAUGCAUUCAACGAGUCUAAAACCUGCUCUGAUAGGGGUGGGUAAUCUUUUGAAUGUGCAUCGUGAUUGGGAUAGAUGAUUGCAAUUUUUCAUCUUCAACGAGGAAUGCCUAGUAAACGCAAGUCAUCGGCUUGCAUUGAUUACGUCCCUGCCCUUUGUACACACCGCCCGUCGCUCCUACCGAUUGAAUGAUCCGAUGAAUAUCAUGGAUUGAGGAUGCAAGCAGGUUCGCCUGUCUUCAUCUUCGAGAAGUGAAGUAAAUCUUAUCAUUUAGAGGAAGGAGAAGUCGUAACA
rnacentral:rRNA from 1 species